CCGCGGUGAUACGGGGGGGGCAAGCGUUGUUCGGAAUUACUGGGCGUAAAGGGCGCGCAGGCGGCUUCGGAAGUCAUGGGUGAAAGCCCCAGGCUCAACCUGGGAAUUGCCUGUGAAACCACGGAGCUGGAGUGCUGGAGAGGGAAGCGGAAUUCCCAGUGUAGCGGUGAAAUGCGUAGAUAUUGGGAGGAACAUCUGAGGCGAAGGCGGCUUCCUGGACAGACACUGACGCUGAGGCGCGAAAGCCAGGGGAGCGAACGGGAUUAGAUACCCCGGUAGUCCUGGCUGUAAACGAUGAACACUUGGUGUGGGGGGUAGGAAAGUCCCUCUGUGCCGGAGAUAACUCAUUAAGUGUUCCGCCUGGGGAGUACGGCCGCAAGGCUGAAACUCAAAGGAAUUGACGGGGGCCCGCACAAGCGGUGGAGCAUGUGGUUUAAUUCGACGCAACGCGAAGAACCUUACCGGGGUUUGAACUGUACCGGCGACCUGCAGAGAUGUAGGGUUCCUUUCGGGGACGGGUACAGAGGUGCUGCAUGGCUGUCGUCAGCUCGUGUCGUGAGAUGUUGGGUUAAGUCCCGCAACGAGCGCAACCCUUGUCUGUAGUUGCCAUCAGGUUAAGCUGGGCACUCUACGGAGACUGUCGGCGAAAAGCCGGAGGAAGGUGGGGAUGACGUCAAGUCCUCAUGGCCUUUAUGUCCCGGGCUACACACGUGCUACAAUGGGCGGAUCAGAGGGCAGCGACCCUGCAAAGGCAAGCGAAUCCCAGAACUCCGCUCUCAGUUCGGAUUGCAGUCUGCAACUCGACUGCAUGAAGUUGGAAUCGCUAGUAAUCGCGGAUCAGAACGCCGCGGUGAAUACGUUCCCGGGCCUUGUACACACCGCCCGUCACAUCACGAAAGUGGGUUGUACUAGAAGCCGCCGGCCUAACCCUUCGGGGAGGGAGGCGUCGACGGUAUGAUCCAUGAUUGGGGUGAAGUCGUAACAAGG
rnacentral:rRNA from 1 species